GGUCAACGCCUUUCUUGGCUCCUUGGGGUCCGGUGAGCAGAUGUGCUGCCCCAUGCCAGGUCAUGCCCACUCACUUGUUGGUGAGGAGCUAGACAUGUCACCAGCUGGGCAGGACAGUGCUAGCGCAGAGUCCCAGGGGGUGACACACAGUCCCCCUUCGGGAACGAAGCGUAGGGCGAGGACCCGGGGUGACCAUCUGAGCCCCCGAGGCUUGACGUGUGAGGUGGGACCGGCCUGGCAAAUGUCCAGCUGAUGCAGACUGGUACCCAGCAGUGUUUUGAGAGGCAUCUACCCAGGACAUCGGACACGUAAUCUGCUCGGAUACCCAAGGGCACCUGCCUGCGUCACCCUGAGCUUAAACCCCUGUCACUGCAGCCAUCAUUACGCUUUCUGUGCUCCAGCAGAAAAUAAACGCCCUUUUGGA